GCCGGGCGUGGUGGCACACGCCUGUAAUCCCAGCGGCACAGGAGGCUGAGACAGGAGGAUCGAAAGUUCAAAGCCAGCCUCAGCCUCAGCAAGACACUAAGCAACUCAGUGAGACCCUGUCUCUA
rnacentral:sRNA from 1 species